GAAGGUCACGGCGAGACGAGCCGUUUAUCAUUACGAUAGGUGUCAAGUGGAAGUGCAGUGAUGUAUGCAGCUAAGGCAUCCUAGCAGAUCGGUAGACUUGAAC
rnacentral:rRNA from 1 species